CGAACAAUAAAGUUAGGGAUGAUGAUGUGGAAGGAAGAAAUGAUAUAAUUACAUUUUUGAAUUAGUAUGGAGAUUUGCUAGAUCUUGUAGAAUUGCUCUCUGGAGAUGAUAAGGGUAGAGAUCUCCAGGCUUCAAAUCUGAUGGGUCAUAUGAGAAUGAUAAUCGUGUGCUCAUAAAGAAAAAGACGAUAGUAGCUGCCACAUCCACUGCCUUAAUUGUAUUCCUUCUCAUUUUUGUAAUUGCUUUCUAUUGUCUAUGGCGGAGGAAGACCUCAAGGGAUCGCGGAGCAGAGAGAAAUGUGAUUAGGAGGAAUUUUACUUAGUGAAGGGAAAUUUGUCUCAAGAUCAAGUAGUAGCAAUAAAAAGGUUAUCCGAGAAGUUUUCACAAGGCCUCGAGGAGUUCAUGAAUGAAUUGAAACUCAUUGCUAAUCUGCAACAUAAAAAUCUCGUAAGGCUCAUAGGCUGUUGUGUGAAGGAGGGUGAAAAACUUUUAGUGUACUGAGUA